rnacentral:rRNA from 1 species
AACGAACGCUGGCGGCGCGCCUAAUACAUGCAAGUCGAACGAGAAGGUGUAGCAAUACACUUGUACAGUGGCGAACGGGUGAGGAAUGCAUGGGCAACCUACCCUCGAGUGGGGAACAACCAGCCGAAAGGUUGGCUAAUACCGCGUACGCUUCCGGGUCUCCGGAUCCGGAAGGAAAGUCACACCGUGGGUGUGACGCUCAAGGAUGGGCUCAUGUCCUAUCAGCUUGNGGUGAGGUAACGGCUCACCAAGGCAACGACGGGUAGCUGGUCUGAGAGGACGAUCAGCCACACUGGCACUGCGACACGGGCCAGACUCCUACGGGAGGCAGCAGUAAGGAAUAUUGCGCAAUGGGCGAAAGCCUGACGCAGCGACGCCGCGUGGGGGAUGAAGGUCUUCGGAUUGUAAACCCCUUUUAGGA